rnacentral:rRNA from 1 species
CGUAGGGUGACCUGCCUUCGAGUGGGGGAGUAACGUCCCGAAAGGGACGCUAAUACCGCAUAAUAUCCUGCCUUUUAAGAGGUGGACAUCAAAGCUGGGACCGCAAGGCCUGGCGCUUGAAGAGGGGCCCGCGCCUGAUUAGCUAGUUGGUGGGGUAAUGGCUCACCAAGGCAUCGAUCAGUAUCCGGCCUGAGAGGGCGGACGGACACACUGGGACUGAGACACGGCCCAG